GUUUACUUUGUGUACCGCGGAUUCGUUUGUAAAGAAGCCAAAAGUCGAUGCUGGAUUUGCAGAGAGACUGUGAUUAAAAGCACCACUAAUAACGUUAUUGGAUCUGACAAAAAUGACACAGCAGUAUACACACAGUAGAUGACAUCACAUUUAUAAUUGGUGAUGUCAUAGAGAACGCUGCUCUCAUAAAGCGCUGUUUGCAGUGUGUUUGGUUAUUCUAUAGUGAGACUCAGAACAGUAAAGGUUGACAACACUCGGGAAGACACCGCAAAGGAGAUAUGCUAUACCUGUUCAGGAAAAGCUGCCUGCAAGGGAAAACAUAAACAGAUCAAUCACCCACCAAGAUCUGCAUUAUCAGGGAGCCGAGUGACGUGGCUGAGACGUUAAGCGGCGAAGGAUCCGAAAACUCCCCGCGGGACUCCUCGCCCCCUGACAGGACCCAGCGAUGACACUGAGAGCGUUACGGCCCGCCGGAGCCGAGUGACGUGGCUGAGACGUUAAGCGGCGAAGGAUCCGAAAACUCCCCGCGGGACUCCUCGCCCCCUGACAGGACCCAGCGAUGACACUGAGAGCGUUACGGCCCGCCGUGAGUAGUUCCACUUUUCAUGCAUCGGCGUACAAGAGAUGGGCAUAAAUUCAUGGAAAUGUUAUUGCCUGUUAUUAAAUGUGCUGUUUCUGCAAGUCAAGCGCAAAGAUGAUUAUUUUCAGAAUGUGCCCGGUUUACACCGUUGUGCCAUGUCCGCCCUCAGGUUUAGGUCGCUCCAAGGUGCUGCCAUUAGGUUCGCUUGUUUCCUAGCUCGGGAUGCAGCGCCCUGGGCGGGACUAGCGGCUUGGCUGCCCCGGCUUCGUGCCGCCCGCUUGACGCGCACCCUGCGUGCGCAGACAGCUGUGGCCUGUACCGCACAUGGAUUGCGGUGCAGGGCGGGCGCGGGUCGCGGUUCACCCCAGGGUCUCAUUUAAGAGUUAGAGCAGGGCCUGAACUGUAAGGUGGCGGGAGGGAAACAGGAAGGGCCCUGCUUUUGAAACACAGAUGCAUCUUAGAUCCUAGAUAAUUUACUCACCCACAUGUAUGUAUCAUUCCACAUACAACGUCAGAACGGUCCUCUUUUCCACACUUGUAAACACUGGAGCAUUAGUUUUGCAUACGUCAUGCUUGACCUUUCGAUGUCAUACGUUGGAUCGCGCUGGCGCGUCACACGAUUAUUUUACAUUUUGUCGUUCAUUUUUCCGAUUUGUGAUUGUUUAAAGCCCUUUGAAGCUGCAUUGAAACUGCAAUUUUAAACUGCAUUGAAACUGUAAACUGUUGAGGUCCAACAGGGCUCUACACUAACUUUUUGCACUGGUUGCACUGGUGCGCCUAAGAAAAAGUUAGGUGCACCCAAAUUUUUGACCGCAUCGCAUUUAUAGUUCACCCAAAAAUGAAAAUUCUGUCAUAAUUUACUCACUCUCAUGUUGUUACAAACCUUUAUAAAUUUCUUCGUUCUGGUGAACA